rnacentral:rRNA from 1 species
UACAGAGGUCCCAAGCGUUGUUCGGAUUCACUGGGCGUAAAGGGUGCGUAGGCGGUCGGGUAAGUCUGAUGUGAAAUCUCACAGCUUAACUGUGAAACUGCAUUGGAUACUAUCCGGCUCGAGGAAUGGAGGGGAGACUGGAACACUUGGUGUAGCAGUGAAAUGCGUAGAUAUCAGGAGGAACACCUAUUGCGAAGGCAGCUCGCUGGGACGUUACUGACGCUGAGACGCGAAAGCGUGGGGAGCAAACAGG